rnacentral:rRNA from 1 species
AUUGAACGCUGGCGGCAGGCCUAACACAUGCAAGUCGAACGGUAACAGGAAGCAGCUUGCUGCUUCGCUGACGAGUGGCGGACGGGUGAGUAAUGUCUGGGAAGCUGCCUGAUGGAGGGGGAUACCUACUGGAAACGGUGGCUAAUACGGCAUAUUUUCGCAAGACCAAAGGGGGGGACCUCCGGGCUCCUUGCCUUCGGUUGGGCCCAGAUGGGAUUAGCUUGUUGGUGGGGUAACGGCUCACCAAGGCGACGAUCCCUAGCUGGUCUGAGAGGAUGACCAGCCACACUGGAACUGAGACACGGUCCAGACUCCUACGGGAGGCAGCAGUGGGGAAUAUUGCACAAUGGGCGCAAGCCUGAUGCAGCCAUGCCGCGUGUAUGAAGAAGGCCUUCGGGUUGUAAAGUACUUUCAGCGGGGAGGAAGGGAGUAAAGUUAAUACCUUUGCUCAUUGACGUUACCCGCAGAAGAAGCACCGGCUAACUCCGUG